UACGUAGGUGACAAGCGUUGUCCGGAUUUACUGGGCGUAAAGAGCGCGCAGGCGGUCGAUCAAGUCGAGUGUGAAAGCCCCCCGGCUCAACUGGGGAGGGUCAUUCGAUACUGAUCGACUCGAAGGCAGGAGAGGGUAGUGGAAUUCCCGGUGUAGUGGUGAAAUGCGUAGAUAUCGGGAGGAACACCAGUGGCGAAGGGCGACUACCUGGCCUGUUCUUGACGCUGAGGCGCGAAAGCUAGGGGAGCAAACGGG
rnacentral:rRNA from 1 species